rnacentral:lncRNA from 1 species
AGGAAAAAGUUAUCUGAAUGUCACUGUUCAAAGCCUUUGCUUCCUGGUCCUCGAACAAUCCCGCCUUCUGGACUAUGGACAGGCACCGGAUACUAUGCCUUCCCCACCAGGAUGGCAGUCUCUUAACUAUGAGGCAGAAAAAAGUCCUCCUGUAAGUCACUUGUAAGAUAUUGCUCUCCAGGGAGAAGAGCAGCCAGCACACUUGGCCACACGGAGGGAGCUUUCUUAGAGUUGCUGUUUUUUCCUUUGGAGUUGAUUGUUUUUGAGAGGUGGUCGGAAUAGGUUCAGAAUGAGCAAAGUAAACUCUUGACGGGGUGGGGAGUUCAGCUGGUAACGUGUUUGCUGUACAAUCAUGAGAAACUGAGCUCAGAUCUCCAGAGCCUGUGUUUAAAAAAAAAAAAAAAAUCAGGCAUGGC